rnacentral:rRNA from 1 species
AACGAACGCUGGCGGCAGGCCUAACACAUGCAAGUCGAGCGAGGACUUCGGUCCUAGCGGCGGACGGGUGAGUAACGCGUGGGAACGUGCCCUUUGCUACGGAAUAGCCCCGGGAAACUGGGAGUAAUACCGUAUGUGCCCGAGAGAGGAAAGAUUUAUCGGCAAAGGAUCGGCCCGCGUUGGAUUAGGUAGUUGGUGGGGUAAUGGCCUACCAAGCCGACGAUCCAUAGCUGGUUUGAGAGGAUGAUCAGCCACACUGGGACUGAGACACGGCCCAGACUCCUACGGGAGGCAGCAGUGGGGAAUCUUAGACAAUGGGGGAAACCCUGAUCUAGCCAUGCCGCGUGAGCGAUGUAGGCCUUAGGGUUGUAAAGCUCUUUCAGUGGGGAAGAUAAUGACGGUACCCACAGAAGAAGCCCCGGCUAACUCCGUGCCAGCCGCCGCCGUAAUAC